rnacentral:rRNA from 1 species
UACGAAGGGGCUAGCGUUGCUCGGAAUUACUGGGCGUAAAGGGAGCGUAGGCGGAUAGUUUAGUCAGAGGUGAAAGCCCAGGGCUCAACCUUGGAAUUGCCUUUGAUACUGGCUAUCUUGAGUACGGAAGAGGUAUGUGGAACUCCGAGUGUAGAGGUGAAAUUCGUAGAUAUUCGGAAGAACACCAGUGGCGAAGGCGACAUACUGGUCCGUUACUGACGCUGAGGCACGAAGGCCAGGGAGCAAACGGG